rnacentral:rRNA from 1 species
CUCGUAGGCGGUUCGUCGCGUCCGGUGUGAAAGUCCAUCGCUUAACGGUGGAUCCGCGUCGGGUACGGGCGGGCUUGAGUGCGGUAGGGGAGACUGGAAUUCCCGGUGUAACGGUGGAAUGUGUAGAUAUUGGGAGGAACACCAGUGGCGAAGGCGCCUUUCUGGACUGUGUCUGACGCUGAGAUGCGAAAGCCAGGGUAGCGAAAG